rnacentral:rRNA from 1 species
AUUGAACGCUGGCGGCAGGCCUAACACAUGCAAGUCGAGCGGAUGAAGGGAGCUUGCUCCUGGAUUCAGCGGCGGACGGGUGAGUAAUGCCUAGGAAUCUGCCUGGUAUUGGGGGAUAACGUCCGGAAACGGGCGCUACUACCGCAUACGUCCUGCUGGAGCAAGUGGGGGAUCUUCGGACCUCACGCUAUCAGAUGAGCCUAGGUCGGAUUAGCUAGUUGGUGGGGUAAAGGCCUACCAAGGCGACGAUCCGUAACUGGUCUGAGAGGAUGAUCAGUCACACUGGAACUGAGACACGGUCAAGACUCCUAAGGGAGGCAGCAGUGGGGAAUAUUGGACAAUGGGCGAAAGCAUGAUACAGCCAUGCCGAGUGUGUGAAGAAGGUCUUCGGAUUGUAAAGCACUUUAAGUUGGGAGGAAGGGCAGUAAGUUAAUACCUUGCUGUUGUGACGUUACCAACAGAAUAAGCACCGGCUAACUUCGUG